rnacentral:rRNA from 1 species
CCUACGGGAGGCAGCAGUGAGGAAUAUUGGUCAAUGGCCGUAAGGCUGAACCAGCCAAGUCGCGUGAGGGAAGACUGCCCUAUGGGUCGUAAACCUCUUUUGUGCGGGGACAAAGGUGUCCACGUGUGGACGUUUGCAGGUACCGCAUGAAUAAGGACCGGCUAAUUCCGUGCCAGCAGCCGCGGUAAUACGGAAGGUCCGGGCGUUAUCCGGAUUUAUUGGGUUUAAAGGGAGCGUAGGCCGGUCUUUAAGCGUGCGGUGAAAUUUUGGGGCACAACCAUGGGCGUGCGGCGGGACCUGGAGACCUCGAGUGCGCGGGAGGCAGGCGGAAUUCGUGGUGUAGCGGUGAAAUGCAUAGAUAUCACGAAGAACCCCGAUUGCGAAGGCAGCCUGUCGGCGCGUUACUGACGCUGAGGCACGAAAGCGUGGGUAUCGAACAGGAUUAGAUACCCGGGUAGUC